rnacentral:rRNA from 1 species
UGGGGAAUAUUGGACAAUUGGCGAAAGCCUGAUGCAGCAACGCCGUGUGAGCGACGAAGGUCUUCGGAUCGUAAAGCUCUGUUGUUGGGGACGAAGGGCGAAGGGUUAAUAGCCCCUAGCCUGACGGUACCCUUCGAGGAAGCCCCGGCUAACUACGUGCCAGCAGCCGCGGUAAUACGUAGGGGGCGAGCGUUGUCCGGAAUUAUUGGGCGUAAAGAGCGUGUAGGCGGUCUGGUAAGUCUGCCGUGAAAACUCGGGGCUCAACCCUGAGCGUGCGGUGGAUACUGCCAGGCUAGAGGGUGGUAGAGGCGAGUGGAAUUCCUGGUGUAGCGGUGAAAUGCGCAGAUAUCGGGAGGAACACCAGUAGCGAAGGCGGCUCGCUGGGCCAUUCCUGACGCUGAGACGCGAAAGCAUGGGGAGCGAACAGGAUUAGAUACC